rnacentral:rRNA from 1 species
UACGAAGGGGGCUAGCGUUGCUCGGAAUCACUGGGCGUAAAGCGCACGUAGGCGGCUUUCUAAGUCAGGGGUGAAAUCCUGGAGCUCAACUCCAGAACUGCCUUUGAUACUGGAGAGCUUGAGUCCGGAAGAGGUGAGUGGAACUCCGAGUGUAGAGGUGAAAUUCGUAGAUAUUCGGAAGAACACCAGUGGCGAAGGCGGCUCACUGGUCCGGUACUGACGCUGAGGUGCGAAAGCGUGGGGA